rnacentral:rRNA from 1 species
CAACUAACUGUUGGGCGGGUUUCCGCUUAGUGGUGCAGCUAACGCAAUAAGUUGACCGCCUGGGGAGUACGGCCGCAAGGCUAAAACUCAAAUGAAUUGACGGGGGCCCGCACAAGCGGUGGAGCAUGUGGUUUAAUUCGAUGCAACGCGAAGAACCUUACCUACCCUUGACAUACAGAGAACUUUCCAGAGAUGGAUUGGUGCCUUCGGGAACUCUGAUACAGGUGCUGCAUGGCUGUCGUCAGCUCGUGUCGUGAGAUGUUGGGUUAAGUCCCGUAACGAGCGCAACCCUUAUCCUUAGUUGCCACCAUUUAGUUGGGCACUCUAAAGAGACCGCCGGUGAUAAGCCGGAGGAAGGUGGGGAUGACGUCAAGUCCUCAUGGCCCUUACACGCUGGGCUACACACGUGCUACAAUGGCCGGUACAGAGGGCUGCUAACUUGCGAGAGUACGCUAAUCCCUUAAAGCCGGUCCUAGUCCGGAUUGCAGUCUGCAACUCGACUGCAUGAAGCUGGAAUCGCUAGUAAUCGCGGAUCAGAAUGCCGCGGUGAAUUCGUUCCCGGGCCUUGUACACACCGCCCGUCACACCAUGGGAGUGGGUUGCAAAAGAAGUGGGUAGGCUAACCUUCGGGAGGCCGCUCACCACUUUGUGAUUCAUGACUGGGGUGAAGUCGUAACAAGGUAGCCGUAAAUCU